GGUCUCAGUUCAGAUUGCAGGCUGCAACCCGCCUGCAUGAAGUCGGAAUUGCUAGUAAUCGCGGAUCAGCAUGCCGCGGUGAAUACGUUCCCGGGCCUUGUACACACCGCCCGUCACACCAUGGGAGCCGGUAAUACCCGAAGUCAGUAGUCCAACCUCGUGAGGACGCUGCCGAAGGUAGGGUUGGCGACUGGGGUGAAGUCGUAACAAGGUAGC
rnacentral:rRNA from 1 species